rnacentral:rRNA from 1 species
GGAAGAAAAGGUCUUCGUUGGUGACCAGCGGAGGGAUCAUUACCGAGUUUACAACUCCCAAACCCCUGUGAACAUACCUUAAUGUUGCCUCGGCGGAUCAGCCCGCGCCCCGUAAAACGGGACGGCCCGCCAGAGGACCCAAACUCUAAUGUUUCUUAUUGUAACUUCUGAGUAAAACAAACAAAUAAAUCAAAACUUUCAACAACGGAUCUCUUGGUUCUGGCAUCGAUGAAGAACGCAGCAAAAUGCGAUAAGUAAUGUGAAUUGCAGAAUUCAGUGAAUCAUCGAAUCUUUGAACGCACAUUGCGCCCGCUGGUAUUCCGGCGGGCAUGCCUGUUCGAGCGUCAUUUCAACCCUCAAGCCCCCGGGUUUGGUGUUGGGGAUCGGCUCUGCCUUCUGGCGGUGCCGCCCCCGAAAUACAUUGGCGGUCUCGCUGCAGCCUCCAUUGCGUAGUAGCUAACACCUCGCAACUGGAACGCGGCGCGGCCAUGCCGUAAAACCCCAACUUCUGAAUGUUGACCUCGGAUCAGGUAGGAAUACCCGCUGAACUUAAGCAUAUCAAUAAGCGGAGGAAAUCUGG